CUCACGCAGUGUUUAUCACUGCCCCCUUCUACUCAUGAGGAAACAAAGUGAUUCCUAUUUACAUCACAAAGUUAGGGUAAUAUUCGAUCUUCAACCUACUACUCAGAUUCCUGAUUCUUUGUUUCUCCACCACACACACAGCUGCUGAACAAGUAAAUAGUUUGCAGCCCAACAUGUUUUAGGGUACUUUACCCCUCUGCAUCACCUUUCUUUAAAAGCUGCUCUCCACCAGCCACUGGUGAGGAGGCUGGUGAGGUAGCCAGAUUUAUACCCCAUGACACUUCUGGACACAGCUGAUUGGCCUGGGGCUGGCCACCUCAUGGAAGGUCUGCUGAUUGGCUGGCCAGUAACCAAUCAGAUUCAGAUUCAAACUUGAAAUUUUGAACUCCGAGAACCAGGAGCCACAGUCCAUUGGUGGCAGUUGUCUCAACUGAAAAGCCAUGUAGUCUGGUCCUGACAGAGCAAUAGCAGAAGGAGGAAGCAAUCCUGGCAAGUUGGAGAUCAGCAACCAGAGCAACGGAGACCUUGCCAUCACCACUCUACAAGAUAUCCCACCAGAUUAUAGCUGCAUGAAGGUGAAGCCAGUGUGGUCUUUGGGGCACAAGAAUGUCCUACAAAGGAGGCAUCUCAGGGGAUGCUGCGUAUGUGAAGGGUAGAGGGUGGAGGGGUUCCCAAGGACAAGACAACAGCGGUUGUUGCACACCUUGCUGGUUGUCAAAGCAAGCAAAGCUGUUGAAUCUUUCUGCGAGAUUUGUCCCUGUUUAUCAAAGGAGAAAAAGAGUCCUUUCUGGCUGGGCCCCAGGCCCACUGCUUGAUCAAAAAGGCUUUCCCUGAAGCCACCCACUUUGGGUGUUCUUGACUUCUGCCCACCUACAUUCCCUGGAAUAGGCUUGUCCUCGGUGCAGUGGGCACCCUCCUGAGAUCCUCUCAGCUGGCGCUUGCCCCCAAGUUCAAAGGAACAAUUAACAACACGAGUUCCCACUACCUAUGACCACCAUGUUGGAAGGUGGGACACAGAAUCCUCCUCCUUCAAAGAUGUUACAGGGAGACCUGUGGUCAUCUCAACCAGCCCGUCUCUCCCCCAACAUGCGACGCCACCAGCUCCUGGUGAUCCUACCCGGGAUGGGACGGUUCUCACCCUCCUCCUAUGUCCUCUGUAGAGGGCAGAGAUCCCAGCUGUUGGACUCAAAGAAAAUGACUUAACCUCUUAGCCUGUUACUUCAGCCACAAAAUUGUUAAAGGGCCUUCUACCGCA